rnacentral:pre_miRNA from 1 species
AAUAUACUCCCUCCGUCCAAAAAUACUUGUCAUCAAAAUGGAUAAAAAGAGAUGUAUCUAGAACUAAAAUACAUCUAGAUACAUCCCCUUUUAUCCAUUUUGAUGACAAGUAUUUCUGGACGGAGAGAGUAUGUA